CUCGGAAGCUAAGCAGGCUCAGGCCUGGUUAGUACUUGGAUGGGAGACCGCCUGGGAAUGCCAGGUGCCGUAGGCUU
rnacentral:rRNA from 1 species